rnacentral:rRNA from 1 species
UACGGAGGGUGCGAGCGUUGCCCGGAUUUAUUGGGCGUAAAGGGCGCGUAGGCGGCCACGCACGUCCGUUGUGAAAUCGCCCGGCUCAACUGGGCGGGGUCGGCGGAUACGGCGUGGCUGGAGCAAGCUAGGGGGCAAUGGAAUUCCCGGUGUAGUGGUGGAAUGCGUAGAUAUCGGGAGGAACACCAGUGGCGAAGGCGGUUGCCUGGAGCUUUGCUGACGCUGAGGCGCGAAAGCGUGGGGAGCGAUCCGG